rnacentral:lncRNA from 1 species
UCCACCUUAUUAAACAACUAUUUCCUCCUCUUCCCUGUACCCCUUGGCAACACCUAGCUGCUUGUUAUUGCUAUGGAUUUGUGUGUUCUAGAGACCUCACACAGGUCAAUUCAUUCAACCCUUGUCCCUGGCUUAUUUUGCUCAGUAUAGUUUCAAAGCUUAUCCAUCUAUAGGGUAGUGUGUGUCAGAUUCCAUUCCUUUUUCUUAAAGAGCCAUUAAUGUUCCAACCAGUUUUGCUAGGUAUUGGUCUGUGGGUGAGCAUGCGUGUUGCUUCUUCCUACUUAUGUGAUUGGGUUGCCUGGAACUUUCCUGUGCCACAGAUCACAGAGUUUCCAAAAAACGGUGUCUGCCCUUGCUUCCAUUGAACAGUGGAGAUCUCUGAUUCCUGGGGACUGUGCUGAUAUGUUUCAGGGUGAUGGGAGAGCAAGCUGGAAUGACUGCUGGAGACCCACCAAGAUCUUCACUGCCUGGGCUCAGGGACUCAGUCUGGUGUCUGCAUAAUGGCUUCCCCAGUUCUAGAACAGUCCUCUGAAAAUGGUAGCUAUUCCAUGAAGAUCUGCUGACAGAGUGAUUGAGCCGUGAAAAGCUCCUGACAUCUUGUUCUGAAAACUUCUCCCGUUCUUGCUAUGCCUUGGGCAUGCGUUUGUUGCUGGAGAUCUUUGGCUAUUCCCUUGAUGGAGUUCUGCAGCGAAGACUAUGACCAUCAUUUGUGAACCCCAGCUGUGAGUCCAGCGACUGUCUAGAGGCACCAUGCCCAGGUUCCCAGGUAGACACUGUCUUCCUACAGUAUGGCUGUGCAUGUGGGCUAGAGGUCACACCUUUGUACUGCUCUGAGGAUAAACACCUGAGCUCGCCGAGUUCUGCUUGUGGACGGAUGCUGGAUGUUCCUUAGACAACUGCUUAUUAAACGAAGCUUGGGAAAGGUAAUAGGCUUGGGUCAGACUUUGAAUUCACCCCCCUUGGAGAGGCUAAAGAGGCCUGGUGGUUUCCAUGGCAACCAACAACAGCCGUCAUGGGUCUUAAAUGCCAGGAUGAGUAGAAACAGGGGCACACCAGGCCAUCACCAGCCUGCCUGCUGUCUGCCUCAGGAGGAAAGAAGAGAUAGGAGUGGCCCCUCUCCCCAUCACAGCCAUGGAGGUGACAAGAGAUUGCCAGAGACAUGAGCUUGACUCUAGAUGGAGAAUGAUGGCCAAGGCUUCCGAGUCAGUAAGAAAGAAAGAACAAGGCCAGGGAUGGGGGACAUUCCAGUUUGAGUCACAGUUGCUGCUGACCUACCGGCCACUGUGAGUCACCAGGCAAAACCCAGAGUCAGUGUGGGAAGCGACUGACCAACAGCAAGGACACAGGUAGGGCCAUGGUUGUGGCCAGUUUUGCUGACUUAAAA